rnacentral:lncRNA from 1 species
AAUUGAGAUAUAGAGAGAGCAUAGAAGCUGAUUUCUCAUUCUGAUAUCUGUAUGUGUGUGUAUUACAAGUAGGGGGGAUGCCUUAUUUAUAGGCAAGCAUCUUCUAAUAGAGGUGGGCUCCACUAUUAUAUUUACAACACUCCCCCUUGGAGACCACAAAUGAUAUGGAAUAUGCCUCGUUAAAAACCUUGCCAGUAAAAACCCAGUGGGACAAAAACUGGUCAAAGGGAAAAAGAGUACAUAAUCAUGUGUAACAUAAAAUUCUGUGUAUAUUGACGCGCGUGCGACACUGCCUCGUUAAAACCUUGCCAGGAGAAAUCCAGUGGGAUAAAAACCUGGACGAAGGAAAAAGAGUACAGUGUUCGAAGAUCUUUAUUGAUAGCACGCUCCC